rnacentral:rRNA from 1 species
GAUGAACGCUGGCGGCGUGCCUAAUACAUGCAAGUCGAGCGAACAGACGAGGAGCUUGCUCCUCUGACGUUAGCGGCGGACGGGUGAGUAACACGUGGAUAACCUACCUAUAAGACUGGGAUAACUUCGGGAAACCGGAGCUGAUACCGGAUGAUAUAUUGAACCGCAUGGUUCAAUAGUGAAAGACGGUUUUGCUGUCACUUAUAGAUGGAUCCGCGCCGCAUUAGCUAGUUGGUAAGGUAACGGCUUACCAAGGCAACGAUGCGUAGCCGACCUGAGAGGGUGAUCGGCCACACUGGAACUGAGACACGGUCCAGACUCCUACGGGAGGCAGCAGUAGGGAAUCUUCCGCAAUGGGCGAAAGCUUGACGGAGCAACGCCGCGUGAGUGAUGAAGGUCUUCGGAUCGUAAAACUCUGUUAUUAGGGAAGAACAAAUGUGUAAGUAACUAUGCACGUCUUGACGGUACCUAAUCAGAAAGCCACGGCUAACUACGUG